rnacentral:rRNA from 1 species
UGGUUCAAACAUAAAAGGUGGCUUCGGCUACCACUUACAGAUGGACCCGCGGCGCAUUAGCUAGUUGGUGAGGUAACGGCUCACCAAGGCAACGAUGCGUAGCCGACCUGAGAGGGUGAUCGGCCACACUGGGACUGAGACACGGCCCAGACUCCUACGGGAGGCAGCAGUAGGGAAUCUUCCGCAAUGGACGAAAGUCUGACGGAGCAACGCCGCGUGAGUGAUGAAGGUUUUCGGAUCGUAAAGCUCUGUUGUUAGGGAAGAACAAGUACCGUUCGAAUAGGGCGGUACCUUGACGGUACCUAACCAGAAAGCCACGGCUAACUACGUGCCAGCAGCCGCGGUAAUACGUAGGUGGCAAGCGUUGUCCGGAAUUAUUGGGCGUAAAGGGCUCGCAGGCGGUUUCUUAAGUCUGAUGUGAAAGCCCCCGGCUCAACCGGGGAGGGUCAUUGGAAACUGGGGAACUUGAGUGCAGAAGAGGAGAGUGGAAUUCCACGUGUAGCGGUGAAAUGCGUAGAGAUGUGGAGGAACACCAGUGGCGAAGGCGACUCUCUGGUCUGUAACUGACGCUGAGGAGCGAAAGCGUGGGGAGCGAACAGGAUUAGAUACCCUGGUAGUCCACGCCGUAAACGAUGAGUGCUAAGUGUUAGGGGGUUUCCGCCCCUUAGUGCUGCAGCUAACGCAUUAAGCACUCCGCCUGGGGAGUACGGUCGCAAGACUGAA